rnacentral:rRNA from 1 species
UGCGUAGGCGGUCAGGCAAGUCGGAUGUGAAAUCCCGAAGCUUAACUUCGGAAGUGCAUCCGAAACUACCCGGCUCGAGGGCUGGAGGGGAGACUGGAAUUCUCGGUGUAGCGGUGAGAUGCGUAGAUAUCGAGAGGAACACCUGUGGCGAAGGCGGGUCUCUGGACAGUUCCUGACGCUGAGGCACGAAAGCUAGGGUAGCAAACG